AACGAACGCUGGCGGCAUGCCUAACACAUGCAAGUCGAACGAGACCUUCGGGUCUAGUGGCGCACGGGUGCGUAACGCGUGGGAACCUGCCCUUAGGUUCGGAAUAACUCCCCGAAAGGGGUGCUAAUACCGGAUAAUGUCUUCGGACCAAAGAUUUAUCGCCUUUGGAUGGGCCCGCGUUGGAUUAGCUAGUUGGUAGGGUAAAAGCCUACCAAGGCGACGAUCCAUAGCUGGUCUGAGAGGAUGAUCAGCCACACUGGGACUGAGACACGGCCCAGACUCCUACGGGAGGAAGCAGUGGGGAAUAUUGGACAAUGGGCGAAAGCCUGAUCAAGCAAUGCCGGGUGAGUGAUGAGGGCCUUAGGGUUGUAAAGCUCUUUUACCCGGGAUGAUAAUGACAGUACCGGGAGAAUAAGCUCCGGCUAACUCCGUG
rnacentral:rRNA from 1 species